AUCUAUUUGAGCUAUGGCAGAGGGAACACAGUGAGUCUGUCCGGUCUACUAAUAGUCCGGCCCCGCCGCGGAUGUAGCAAGCGAGGAAAUGCUGGUAGCCUAUUCUUUAUGAUUAUUUCUUAAAGAUCCGGCGAACGCAACACAGCUCAGUUUGCUAUGGAUGCUUCUUUGGCCGAAGUGUAUAUAGGCCUACUUUGCUACACUGUUACAAUGUAUCGACUCAGAGCACUGAUCACUACGUAGCUUAGUCGUCUUUUCUCACACUCGCAUCAUUGUUGCCGCUGUGCAGCGAGGACACGAUAGUUACCGGGGGAGACAGACGAAACACAGCGUGAUUGUCGCUCAGGACUUGAACUUGAACUUCAUUUUGAAAUCGGCGUCCAUGUGUGAUCGACGUCAGUCUUCUUUUUUCCCAUAAGCAAUAUUCAUUAUUCUGUGAUUCAGUGUCAAACUACGAGGAGAAAUGAGGAAAAUACAGAUGUUUUGAAGACAAUAAACUAAACUGCUGGCUGCUCCACCUCGGACAUUGAAGAAGUGGACAUUUCAUAUCAACAGAAAGUAAACGAAUUGAAGAAUGCAUGUUAUAGAUGUUGUUAUAACAGAAACCGAUGGGUUGGGCCAGAACCAGAACGAACACCUGUGGGUUCACCCCCUCAUUUUGACGUCACAACAAACAACUUCAACGAUGGCAGUCUCAGUCUGAGGAUAACUACAUUAUGGUUCUGGAUCUACUACCCUGGUGGAAAAUAUGGCCUGUCUGGAUUUCAACAUCCUUAAUUUCACAUCCAUAGUUGUUGUGUGCUGCUGACUGUCUACCCAUGUCCGAUUUGAGGUUGGAUUGGAUCUGGGGGGCAAUGUAUAGAGACGGAACAGACCCUGGAUUAAAAGGUGAAAUUAUGUUUAAUUUAAAUAUUCUUGUUUCUUAAGCUUAUUAAGGUACAGUUUAUAUUGGUUUGGUAUUUGAUUUUCAUUGUACACUAAGUCAAAUCAAUGGCACUAUGUAGCUGUUUGGUUUAACCUGAAAUGAAAAGCGUCUCGCCUCGUUGUUCUGUCGCCUGCAGUUACACAAAGUUAGUCAAAUGUUUAUGGUGCAGUUGUUUGCUCUGAAUAAACCCUCGCACUCACAGUAUAAGAGAAAAAAAUCUCAGCUAGUAGACUGUGGUUACAGUAAUGUUAGUGAUCUGUACAGUACAGUAGAAGCGGCUCAUACUCUGAAGCUGCCAAAGAAAUCAGUGAAAGAGGAAAAGUAAAUCCAGUACCUCAAAGGUCAGAUGAAGAGACAGUUGGCUCCCUGAGAAGUGCAACCCACAGUGAGUUGGCACCCUGAACUACACAAAGUCCCUAUUGUCAGUGGGUGCACUGCAAACAGCACUCAAUAGACCUAUAAGGCCUACGGCUCCAGUCCUGGGGGAAAAGCACCACCUGUUGGCCGUUUGGUAAUAUACUGCAGAUUGACGAGGCAAGUUCUAGAAUCAUGCUUGUGUGAUGAGUAACCUUGCCUGAAACCUGUAGAUUUAUGAUCCCUUAGUGAAUGCCCAGCCUUUAGCUCAGUGGGAUAAUACAGUCUUUUGGCAUUCUGGAGACCCAGGUUCAAACCCAGCCAUUCAAUAUUAGUGUCACAUGUUCAAAACAUUUCCACUAAAAUGGCCUGCCCUUCAGCACCCUGAAGAAUGAUGUCUGUAAAGGGAAGUUAAUGAUGUGACAUUAGAAAUAGUGCAAUAUUUUGUCUGUGAGUUUUGUGAGUGUCCUUACCCUCAGUGGAGUUGUGAAGUUCAGCCAUGGUUCAGCUCCUCUUCUCUACAAUGGAGAAUGAAUCUUCUCCAUUCAUAUAAAGCAAAAUGAAAGCCACUGACUGUGUGGGAGGUUUCACAAAGCUAGAGGCAGAGCCAGGGUAUUGAAGUGUGACACCUAAAGUUUCACUUCCACAUGUUAUUAUAACCCUGUUAGUAUAUUAGUAUAAUAUAAUACGCACUUUCCUGGACACAGACCAAGCCUGCUACUGAACUAAAAAGCAUUCUCAAUGGAGAAUCUCUAUUGAAAGAUUUUUUUUUGUUCAGGACUGUUCUUAUGUGUCCAGGAAACCGAACAUAUAUAACCAAAUACAAAUACAUAUUAUAAUCUAUUAGUAUAAUAGUACAACCUUAUUCGUUUAAUAUGGUCUCACCCAUCCAGGUUGGAAUAGGAGGAGUAGCACUGAACCAACAGUGGAUUGCUACGGAGGGAUUUCUCUUCUCAGUCAAAGCCCUGUUGUCAGUUACAUUGAUAACAUAUACACUGAAUGUACCAAACAAUAAGAACGCCUUCCUAAUAUUGAGUUGAGUUGCACCCCCACCCCCCUUUUGCCCUUCGAACAGCCUCAAUUUGUCGGACAUGGACUCUACAAGGUGUCGGAAGCGUUCCACAGGGAUGCUGGCCCAUGUUGACUCCAAUGCUUCCCACAGUUGUCAAGUUUGCUGGAUGUCCUUUAAGUGGUGGACCAUUCUUGAUACACAUGGGAAACUGUUGAGCGUGAAAAACCCAGCAACGUUGCAGUUCUUGACACAAACUGGUGCACAUGGCACCUACUACCAUACUCUGUUCAAAGACACAUAUCUUUUGUCUUGCCCAUUCACCCUCUGAAUGGCACAUAUACACAAUCCAUGUCUCAAUUGUCUCAAGGCUUAAAAAUUCUUAUUUAAACUGUCUCCUCCCCUUCAUCCACACUGAUUGAUGUGCAUUUAACAGGUGACAUCAAUAAGGGAUCGUAGCUUUCAACUGGAUUCACCUCUCAGUCUGUCAUUCAAAGGUGUUCUUAAUGUUUUGUAUACUCAGUGUACAUUGAUACAGACUGUUAAGAUACAUUGACACAAAUAAUUCAAUUACACGCAACGAUGUUUCACCCCACUCCUGUGUAAAAUGGGCCACGGUUUACUUGACAAAGAGGCAUGGAUCCGUGCAAUGGGAAUUGUUUCAGCAACACAUCACAUCAGUCACUUAUUCAAGUGAUUCCGUUUUGAUUUACAUAACCUAUUCUCUGUGACUGAUGGACAGGGAGCACUGGAUUUCUGUGGCAUUUAUGUGGUCCCUAUCCUCCUAUAAAAUAGCCAAAAGCUGAUGUGAGAGAAUGUGUGUGUGUGUGUGUGUGUGUGUGUGUGUGUGUGUGUGUGUGUGUGUGUGUGUGUGUGUGUGUGUGUGUGUGUGUGUGUGUGUGUGUGUGUGUGUGUGUAAUUCGUGACUGUGCAUCAAUCUCACUCCUCCUGAGGCCUGUGACUCACCUUUGUGGUUGUGACUCCCCCGUCUCCCCCUUUCUGAGGUAAACCACAGUGCUGCCCACAGCCACAGAGAAAACUCCCAGCGUUAACCACAACCUUUCACCUCUUGUCUCACCCCCUCCACAACCCCAACACUAAACCAUCACCAGAUUUAAAACCUCCCUACUUGAAUCACUUGAUAGUCUCCUAAUAGUAACUCUCUAAUAUGGCCUUGAUUUGUCAGUGUCACCUUUAUAAACCUUUAUAAUAUAGACAAACUCUUGAUUUGAGUCUUGGCUGUAACACACUUGCUUUUCGGCUUCACAGUGAAAUCAACAACGUAGAAAAAAUGAGAUCCUAAUGGCUCUAAUAUGUAAUUAUAUGUAAUCCUAUGAUUGAAAACAUCAACAACAUUUAAUGUUAACUGUAUUACAUGUGCCAACAUGUGAGGCUUGAGUAACUUAGUUGUGUGGAACAGAUAUAUCUGACCCUGGUCUGGUCUGGUCUGGUCUGCCUGGCUAAACUAUAAUCAAGGGUAGUUAAUAAUGUAGCAAGGCAACAACACAGCAGGUUUAAGCCUAGCUGUCCACUCAAGUAGCUGUUGUUAACUCUCCUCUUUUGAGUCUUACAGAUGGUGUGAACCUGAGAUGGGUCAAGGAGGAACAGGAGGCAAAAUAUGAGAUCGGACAUGGACUCAUUGCAUGCUUCUACACCUGCAUUGCUUGCUGUUUGGGGUUUUAGGCUGGGUUUCUGUACAGCACUUUGUGACAUCACCUGAUGUAAGAAGGGCUUUAUAAAUAAAUGUGAUUGAUUGAUUGCAUGCAAUUCACCUUUUCAUGUCUGAGCUCUCACAUGAGGAUCACUUUAAGGACUACUCGGACUGUUCAUCAGAG